rnacentral:rRNA from 1 species
AGAGUUUGAUUCUGGCUCAGCCCUUAAAAUGGCGGCGUGCCUAACACAUGCAAGUCGAACGGCCUUAUAACGAAACCUAGUGAAUUAUAAGUUAGUGGCGGACGGGUGAGUAACGCGUGGAAAACCUGCCGUAUACUGCCGGAUAACACUUAGAAAUAGGUGCUAAUACCGCAUAAGCGCACAGCUUCGCAUGAAGCAGUGUGAAAAACUCCGGUGGUAUACGAUGGUUCCGCGUCUGAUUAGCUAGUUGGUGAGGUAAAAGCCCACCAAGGCAACGAUCAGUAGCCGGCCUGAGAGGGUGAACGGCCACAUUGGGACUGAGACACGGCCCAGACUCCUACGGGAGGCAGCAGUGGGGGAUAUUGCACAAUGGGGGAAACCCUGAUGCAGCGACGCCGCGUGAGUGAAGAAGUAUUUCGGUACGUAAAGCUCUAUCAGCAGGGAAGAAUAAUGACGGUACCUGACUAAUAAGCCCCGGCUAACUACGUGCCAGCAGCCGCGGUAAUACGUAGGGGGCAAGCGUUAUCCGGAUUUACUGGGUGUAAAGGGAGCGUAUACGGCUGUGCAAGUCUGAAGUGAAAUGCCGGGGCUCAACCCCGGAACUGCUUUGGAAACUGUACAGCUAGAGUGCACGAGGGGUGAGCGGAAUUCCUAGUGUUACGGUGAAAUGCGUAGAUUUUAGGAGGAACACCGGUGGGGAAGGCGGCUCACUGGAUUGUUACUGACGUUGAAGCUCGAAACCGUGGUGAGCAAACCGGAUUAUAUUCCCUGGUAACCCUCGCCGAAACCGAUGAC